GGAAAAGCAAAUAUCCUGGUUACUCAAUAACCUAAGCCACAUAAUUUGCUGACAUUGCCCAGCUAUUUGUCUGGGCUUCCUCAGAAAGAAAUCUAAGCAUUCAAGAGACAGUGGACACAACCUGCACCAAGGACACAACAAAGGUAGACAGGUAGACAUCAGUGGAUCAUAACUGUAGGGUACACAACAGAGCGAGUCAGGUAAAACCAUCUGGAACCAGGAGGAGAUUGUGCCUUCAUAGUUACCAACCAAGCUCCAAAGGAAAGAAGUCCCCAGAUGCAGCAAGGGAUGGCAGAGCAGGGAGUGCCAAGGGGAACAGGGCUUAUGCAACCAAGGUGAGACAGAAAGAAAAUUAAGGAUCAGAGUUUUCUAGUUCUCUAUAUCCCAGAAAACCAUGUGGUGGUUAAAACCAAGCAUAGGAUGAAGAACAGGCUAGCAUGUACAGGAAAAGUGUAAUGUAAAACCUGUUUAUUCUGUUCUGGCCAACCUAGCCACAUGUGGUGUUGCUAUUGUUUUUUGUUUGUUUUUCUAUUUUAAAAAUAAUUAUCUUGCAUAAACUGUUUUUUCUGAGUUUAAAAACCUUAUGGUUUUUACAGGAGCUCCCCAUACAGAUAAGUUCAAAUGAGAUUCUCAUCUCAAGCUCUGGCCUUCUCCAGGAACCGAGACAGCUUGCUACAGUUCCACUAUGAAAACUUAUUUCAUUAACAUUUCAAUAUUAUACUUUCAUAAAUUUUGUAGAUUUAUAAUUUAUAGAAAUACAAUUUAUGGAGAUGUGCUUUAUAUAAAGAUUUAUAACAUCUAUAAAGAGAACUUUAUAGAUCUAUAAAAUUUACAGACAUAUCUUUUAACGUUAACUCAGGAAAGACUCCAUUUAUUUACCUAAAACCUAACACUUAUGUCAACUGCACUUAACAAGAAGAAUUAAUUUCAGAUAAUAUUAAAGAUUUUUCUUGUGCAGAAUUUGCCCAGAUGGAAUUAUGUCUGUAUCUGACUUAGAGCAUCAAUCCUGAAUCACAAGAAAAGAAGACAGUCAUCCAAGUUCCUAUUAUAUUCAAAUGAGAUAUUACAUAAAAGUUAUCGUUAUGGUAAGUUAUAAGGUUAUGAUUACUCUUUCUAGACAAGAUAUCACACAGAUGGAGAAGAACCAAAAUGAAUGCCACCAUAAUGCCACCAUAGGGGCAACAAUAUUCUGCACGUACCAGUCAAAUAUACACAUCAAACACAGUUUCUAAAAAUGACAAAUAUAAGAGGGAGUGAAUAAAUCUGGUGUUCAUUGAGUAACUAGAACAAAGUGUGAGUGCAGGUCAACUUUCUAGCUCUACAGGAAGAGUUUAGAUAUUCAAGGAAUCUUCAAAGUGAAUCUGAAUCUACAAGGGCAUAAUGUGGGAAAAUAGGUUAAGAACAGUCAGUGUUACUAUUUUUAGGCACAAAGGAAAUCUAAGAAUAUGUGUACAUGUGAAUCCCAGCAGAGAGAGAGAGCAAUGUCAAAAAAAUAAAAUAAAGAGACUGAACAAGCAGAUAGAAUUUGCCAAUAUGUGAAGGACUCUGAGAACUACAAUGAUAAAAAAGCUCUCUAAAAAUAGUCUUGUAAAAGAAAAUAAAUAUCCUGAAACUUAAAAGGACAACAUAACCUAAUCAUUUUUUCUGUAAUUUCUAUUAAUGACAUAAAUAACUAAAAUGGGAAUAAUUUACCUAUUGCACUGCAGUGUUCACCUGUUCACAAGGUGCUCUCAAGUCAGAAACAGCUGCUCAGAUACUCAAGCUGUUAUUAAAAUGCUUCUGAAAUAACAGCAUAGUUUUGAAGGAUCUGAAGUCAGAUAUCAGAACUAGUUUUGGGGCUAGUCUCAGAGCCCAAUCAUAUAUUUCUUUAUUUUUGGUACCAGUUUAUGUACAAUUUACUUAUUCUGUUCUUUUCCAUCCUUGUGUUUUUUUCCUCAUAUUUCUCUAACAGCUCUCUAAUUCUGCUGAUUUGGGGCACUGCUUUAACAGAGUAAGUUACAGAUAAUUGCAUCUUUCUCCUGUGUAUCAGUCUCCUCUGCACUUUGUUACAGGAAGAAAUCUCUGACAUCAGUCUCAUUGUAAUUGAGUUUAAGAAAGCGAAGACAGUCCACAUGAACUAGCCUCCUGUCUCACAAUGGCCAAAAAAAGGAUGUUUAGGGAAAAGUGUAAGAACAGAACAGGCGUAUAUUCAAACUACCCUAGAAAUAAUUUGAGCAAUGUUCAGUCUAGAGAAUCCUGAGCCAUACAUGAUAUCUUUACAGCUUAGAUUUUUCUUCCUGAAGUAAAAAGAAAACCAACACUAAUGGGACUGCAUUACCUAUCUCCACAGACUCACCCCUUUGAAAAUUUUCUUUUAAUUUGUUGAGCAACUUGCACCCAAUUUAGCACAGGAGUAUGAAGCAUCAAUGUAUUAAAUUUCAGUGUUAAGUUUUUUGCAAAUUUAAUGAAAAUCAGCAUCUGGGGAAGGAGAUACUUAAUGACCCUCGUGGAAAAAGGCUGUAAGAGUGAACAAAAUGUUAUCUGUUCCAUAUGGUCUGCACCAUAGCCAGCCUAGCCAUGGCGUAUUUCCACCCCUUCCACAGCCAUAGGUAGGAAUUCACAAUGCAGCAGUGGGUACUAUGCAAUGCGUUGGAUGGAAACUAGACAAAGCAAUGGCAACGUGGGGAAGGCAUGGACUUAGUGUUGUGGGAGACAGUAAAGGAAAGAACGGAGUGUAGCACAGUGGGAUGUAUAAUGUGGGGGAGUGGGAUGGAACUUAGAGAGAGAUCUGUGCAGGAAAUCUGGCUUCCUUAGCUCUUUGUAACAGCUCAGUACAAUAAAGACAAAGUGAACCUCUUUCAAGAGUAAAAAGAGUAGAAGAAAAUAGGGUUGAAAGGAGAUGGGAAGGAAAGCAAAAUAAAAUCUAGUAAUGGCAUAAUGGAGAAGGUAAGCAGUCUGUAGAGUAAGACAGUUCCAGAGACGCAUUUCUGAGACGCAUAUCUGAGAAGA